AACAACUGAUUGCCUGAAAGUAGGAAUGAAAGCCGUCAGGUUGAGCUGAAACUACUUGUCUAAUACUCCUAUAUGCAAGGCGUGAUAGUGGUCACAAAUUGUAUGGAGAGUUGAAGUCGGUUGCCAAAAACCAAGUGAGAACUCAUAUGGUAAUGGGUAGGUCGGGAUGUUACAAA
rnacentral:ncRNA from 1 species